UUCUUAAUAGCUCGUUCGGUAGAGCAUGAGACUCUUAAUCUCAGGGUUGUGCGUUUGAGCCCCAUGUUGGGCAA